AGAGUUUGAUCAUGGCUCAGGAUGAACGCUGGCGGCGUGCCUAAUACAUGCAAGUCGAACGCUUUGUGCUGAAUUGAUAUGACGAGCUUGCUCUGAUUUGAUUUUUUGAUUUCAAAGAGUGGCGAACGGGUGAGUAACACGUGGGUAACCUACCUCUUAGCAGGGGAUAACAUUUGGAAACAAGUGCUAAUACCGUAUAAUACCAACAACCGCAUGGUUGUUGGUUGAAAGAUGGUUCUGCUAUCACUAAGAGAUGGACCCGCGGUGCAUUAGCUAGUUGGUAAGGUAAUGGCUUACCAAGGCAAUGAUGCAUAGCCGAGUUGAGAGACUGAUCGGCCACAAUGGGACUGAGACACGGCCCAUACUCCUACGGGAGGCAGCAGUAGGGAAUCUUCCACAAUGGGCGCAAGCCUGAUGGAGCAACGCCGCGUGCGUGAUGAAGGGUUUCGGCUCGUAAAACACUGUUAUAAGAGAAGAACGGCACUGAGGGUAACUGUUCAGUGUGUGGCGGUAUCUUACCAGAAAGGAACGGCUAAAUACGUGCCAGCAGCCGCGGUAAUACGUAUGUUCCAAGCGUUAUCCGGAUUUAUUGGGCGUAAAGCGAGCGCAGACGGUUAUUUAAGUCUGAAGUGAAAGCCCUCAGCUCAACUGAGGAAUUGCUUUGGAAACUGGAUGACUUGAGUGCAGUAGAGGAAAGUGGAACUCCAUGUGUAGCGGUGAAAUGCGUAGAUAUAUGGAAGAACACCAGUGGCGAAGGCGGCUUUCUGGACUGUAACUGACGUUGAGGCUCGAAAGUGUGGGUAGCAAACAGGAUUAGAUACCCUGGUAGUCCACACCGUAAACGAUGAGUGCUAGAUGUUCGAGGGUUUCCGCCCUUGAGUGUCGCAGCU
rnacentral:rRNA from 1 species